rnacentral:rRNA from 1 species
UACGUAGGGUGCAAGCGUUAAUCGGAAUUACUGGGCGUAAAGCGUGCGCAGGCGGUGAUGUAAGACAGGUGUGAAAUCCCCGGGCUUAACCUGGGAAUGGCGCUUGUUACUGGCAGACUAGAGUGCGUCAGAGGGGGGUGGAAUUCCACGUGUAGCAGUGAAAUGCGUAGAGAUGUGGAGGAAUACCGAUGGCGAAGGCAGCCCCCUGGGAUGACAUUGACGCUCAUGCACGAAAGCGUGGGGAGCAAACAGG